UACGUAGGGUGCAAGCGUUGUCCGGAAUUAUUGGGCGUAAAGAGCUUGUAGGCGGUUUGUCGCGUCUGCUGUGAAAUUUCGGGGCUCAACCCCGAACUUGCAGUGGGUACGGGCAGACUAGAGUGUGGUAGGGGAGACUGGAAUUCCUGGUGUAGCGGUGAAAUGCGCAGAUAUCAGGAGGAACACCGAUGGCGAAGGCAGGUCUCUGGGACAGUACUGACGCUGAGAAGCGAAAGCAUGGGGAGCGAACAGG
rnacentral:rRNA from 1 species